GACGAACGCUGGCGGCGUGCUUAACACAUGCAAGUCGAACGGAAAGGCCCCCAUCUUGGUGGGGGUGCUCGAGUGGCGAACGGGUGAGUAACACGUGGGUGAUCUGCCCUGUACUUCGGGAUAAGCUUGGGAAACUGGGUCUAAUACCGGAUAGGACCAUGGUUUAGUGUCUCAUGGUGGAAAGAUUAUUGUUUUGGUGCAGGAUGAGCUCGCGGCCUAUCAGCUUGUUGGUGGGGUAAUGGCCUACCAAGGCGUCGACGGGUAGCCGGCCUGAGAGGGUGGACGGCCACAUUGGGACUGAGAUACGGCCCAGACUCCUACGGGAGGCAGCAGUGGUGAAUAUUGCACAAUGGGCGCAAGCCUGAUGCAGCGACGCCGCGUGGGGGAUGACGGCCUUCGGGUUGUAAACUCCUUUCGUUAGGGACGAAGCCGCACUUUUUUUGGGUGUGGUGACGGUACCUUUGUUAAGAAGCACCGGCUAACUACGUG
rnacentral:rRNA from 1 species